GAUGAACGCUGGCGGCGUGCCUAAUACAUGCAAGUCGAGCGAACAGAUGAGGAGCUUGCUCCUCUGACGUUAGCGGCGGACGGGUGAGUAACACGUGGAUAACCUACCUAUAAGACUGGGAUAACUUCGGGAAACCGUAGCUAAUACCGGAUAAUAUUUUGAACCGCAUGGUUCAAUAGUGAAAGACGGUUUUGCUGUCACUUAUAGAUGGAUCCGCGCGGCAUUAGCUAGUUGGUAAGGUAACGGCUUACCAAGGCAACGAUGCGUAGCCGACCUGGGAGGGGGAUCGGCAACACUGGAACUGAGAAAGGGUCAAGACUCCUAGGGGAGGAAGCAGUAGGAAAUCUUCCGCAAUGGGGGAAGGCUGAAGGGAGAAAGGCCGGGGGGGGGAGGAAGGUCUUGGGAUGGUAAAACUCUGUAAUAAGGAAAAAAAAAAGGGGAAAGAAAUGAGGAAAGUCUGAAGGGAACCAAACAAAAAAGCAACGCUAAACAAGGU
rnacentral:rRNA from 1 species